rnacentral:rRNA from 1 species
AGUGAACGCUGGCGGUAGGCCUAACACAUGCAAGUCGAACGGCAGCACAGUAAGAGCUUGCUCUUACGGGUGGCGAGUGGCGGACGGGUGAGGAAUACAGCGGAAUCUACUUUUUCGUGGGGGAUAACGUAGGGAAACUUACGCUAAUACCGCAUACGACCUACGGGUGAAAGCAGGGGAUCUUCGUACCUUGCGCGAUUGAAUGAGCCGAUGUCGGAUUAGCUAGUUGGCGGGGUAAAGGCCCACCAAGGCGACGAUCCGUAGCUGGUCUGAGAGGAUGAUCAGCCAAACUGGAACUGAGACACGGUCCAGACUCCUACGGGAGGCAGCAGUGGGGAAUAUUGGACAAUGGGCGCAAGCCUGAUCCAGCCAUACCGCGUGGGUGAAGAAGGCCUUCGGGUUGUAAAGCCCUUUUGUUGGGAAAGAAAAGCAGCAGGUUAAUACCCCGCUGUUCUGACGGUACCCAAAGAAUAAGCACCGGCUAACUUCGUG